rnacentral:tRNA from 1 species
AGCUUAGAUCCUUAGAUGGUAAAGCACUUGUCUAGCGUAUAAGGAUUGUGAGUUGAAAUCUCACCUGAGCUG